GUAGACUCGUACAUGGCCAUUGUCAACAAGACUGUACGGGAUCUCAUGCCCAAGACCAUCAUGCACCUCAUGAUCAACAAUACCAAGGAGUUUAUCUUCUCUGAGCUGCUGGCCAACCUGUACUCUUGCGGGGACCAGAACACGCUGAUGGAAGAAUCGGCCGAACAGGCUCAGCGGCGCGACGAGAUGCUGCGUAUGUACCACGCACUGAAGGAGGCGCUCAGCAUUAUCGGCGACAUCAACACGACCACCGUCAGCACGCCCAUGCCCCCGCCCGUGGACGACUCCUGGCUGCAGGUGCAGAGCGUACCGGCCGGACGCAGGUCGCCCACGUCCAGCCCCACGCCGCAGCGCCGAGCCCCCGCCGUGCCCCCAGCCCGGCCCGGGUCGCGGGGCCCUGCUCCUGGGCCUCCGCCUGCUGGAUCCGCCCUGGGGGGGGCUCCCCCCGUGCCCUCCAGGCCGGGGGCUUCCCCUGACCCCUUUGGCCCCCCUCCCCAGGUGCCCUCGCGCCCCAACCGCGCCCCGCCUGGGGUCCCCAGCCGAUCGGGUCAGGCAAGUCCGUCCCGUCCUGAGAGCCCCAGGCCCCCCUUCGACCUCUAACCAGAUCCCUCCUACUCCUCGGAGACCUCCCUUAUCAAGCCUGCCUGGACAGCUGUUCUGUGACUUGACAGUGGCUCCCCCGACCCCAAAGCGUCCUAUUCAUCAUCUGUGACUUAGUCUGUUGUAGUGGUGAGCUGAUACAUCCAAAUGUGAUGUUGGUGAAAACUUGUGCCCCUCUGUGGUAUUGCUCCUGCGACAUUCUAUAAAUAUCUAUAAAUAUACCUAUAUAUACAUAUAUAUACAUAUAUAUGGCUGACACAGCCUCGCCUGUAGUGUCAGAAUCAACCACCAUGCUGUCCUUGUGGAGUCCUGUGGUCCAACUACAAGGGAACGCUGUCAUCCUGACAUCCCCCCUCCAAUGUGCCACCUCCAGUGAGCCUCCCUGUCCCUUGGCCUGUGGACAGCCAUCCCCUUGGCCAUCCCCACCCUGCACAAGGGGAUGCUGCACCAGCAGCUGUGCGGUUCUCUGAUGGCCACCAGUCUUGCUGUCUCUUGGCUGAGAAUAAAACCCAUUUCUGGACAAUGGG
rnacentral:lncRNA from 1 species